UAAAUUGUUCAUUAAUUGUAAACUAGCAUGAAGAAAAAUAUAUUUAAUAUCUGUCUUUUUAUUAUAAAUUAAAAUUAAAUUUUUUGUCAAAAGGCAAAAAUAUAUUUUAGGGACAAGAAGACCCUAUAAAGCUUUAUAUUUUUUAUCAAAUUAUUAAGGUAAAAUAAUAUUAUGGGGGGGCAAUAUUAUGUUUAUAAAGAAUAUAUAAUAAAAAUAUUAUUUAAAUAAUUUUGUUCAUGAUCCAUUUUUACUGAUAAACUGAAUAAGUUACUUUAGGGAUAACAGGAUAAUUUUUAUUAUAGAGUUCAUAUUAAAAAUAAAGAUUAUUACCUCGAUGUUGAAUUAAUUUUAUAUAAUGGUGAAGGAGCUAUUAUUAUAUGACUGUUCGUCAUUUAAAUAAUUACA
rnacentral:rRNA from 1 species